CAAUAGCGUAUAUUAAAGUUGUUGCGGUAAAAAAGCUCGUAGUUGGAUUUCUGUUGAGAGCGACCGGUCCAUACCAUGUAUGCGUAUCUGGCUUGCUCUCGGCAUCCUCUCGAUAGACGUUACUGCGCUUGAUUGCGUGGUGCGGAUCUCGGGACUUUUACUUUGAGGAAAUUAGAGUGUUCACGGCAGGCUUUCGCCAGAAUACAUUAGCAUGGAAUAAUACUAUAGGAUCUUGGUUCUAUUUUGUUGGUUUCUAGAAUUGGGAUAAUGAUUAAUAGGGACAAUUGGGGGCAUUCGUAUCAACACGUCAGAGGUGGAAUUCUUGGAUUGUGUUGCGACGAACUACUGCGAAAGCAUUUGCCAAGGAUGUUUUCAUUGA
rnacentral:rRNA from 1 species